UGUAUAUGAGAUUUUAGAUGAAAAUUUAAAUCGUGAUAUUGAAUCUUACCAGAGAAUAAAGAAACCGUUUACCUCAACCAGAGUUAUAUUUCAUAGAAUUAUGUUGACCAUGAUCCAAAUAUUGCCAUGGAUGUGCGCUUGUGUCUUAGGCUUAUGCUUUGCAAAAGGUUCACCAUUGCCCUUAAGUUGCUGUGGGUUUUUCGGUUUUACUUCCAACCUGG